rnacentral:tRNA from 1 species
AGCAAUGUAGCUUAAAGGAUUAGAGCACAUGGCUAUGAAUCACGGUGUCCGGGGUUCAAAUCCCUCCUUGCCC